rnacentral:rRNA from 1 species
ACAAUGGGCGCAAGCCUGAUGCAGCAACGCCGCGUGAGGGAUGACGGCCUUCGGGUUGUWAACCUYUUUUAGCAGGGAAGAAGCGAAAGUGACGGUACCUGCAGAAAAAGCGCCGGCUAACUAC